CCUACGGGAGGCAGCAGUAAGGAAUAUUGGUCAAUGGACGCAAGUCUGAACCAGCCAUGCCGCGUGAAGGAUGAAGGCCCUCUGGGUUGUAAACUUCUUUUAUAGGGGACGAAAUGCAGUUAUUCUUAAUUGUUUGACGGUACCCUAGGAAUAAGCACCGGCUAACUCCGUGCCAGCAGCCGCGGUAAUACGGAGGGUGCAAGCGUUAUCCGGAUUCACUGGGUUUAAAGGGUGCGUAGGUGGGCUUGUAAGUCAGUGGUGAAAUCUCCGGGCUUAACCCGGAAACUGCCAUUGAUACUAUAGGUCUUGAAUUAUCUGGAGGUCAGCGGAAUAUGUCAUGUAGCGGUGAAAUGCUUAGAUAUGACAUAGAACACCAAUUGCGAAGGCAGCUGGCUACAGGUUGAUUGACACUGAGGCACGAAAGCGUGGGGAUCAAACAG
rnacentral:rRNA from 1 species